rnacentral:ncRNA from 1 species
UGGGAGAAAAUUAGAAAAUCUUAAUUUACCUGCUUGUGCACAGUGUUUUGCUGCCAUGGACGGCAGCAAAAGUCUUAACGCCCCAUGGACGGGGCGUUUAAGACGUGCACGUCACUUUGAAAAAAUACAAAUCAGGUAAAUUUAGAUUUUCUUAUUUUCGGAC